CCUACGGGUGGCAGCAGUGAGGAAUAUUGGUCAAUGGACGCAAGUCUGAACCAGCCAUGCCGCGUGCAGGAAGACGGCUCUAUGAGUUGUAAACUGCUUUUGUCCGAGGGUAAAUCCCGAUACGUGUCUCCGGUUGAGGGUAUCGUACGCAUAAGCAUCGGCUAACUCCGUGCCAGCAGCCGCGGUAAUACGUAGGGAGCAAGCGUUGUUCGGAAUGACUGGGCGUAAAGGGUGCGUAGGCGGUUGUACAAGUUAGAUGUGGAAUACCCAGGGCUUAACUCGGGUGCUGCUGCUAAAACUGUAUGACUUGAGUGCAGGAGAGGUUAGUGGAAUGCCUAGUGUAGCGGUGGAAUGCGUAGAUAUUAGGAGGAACACCAGAGGCGAAGGCGGCUAACUGGACUGCAACUGACGCUGAGGCACGAAAGUGUGGGGAGCAAACAGGAUUAGAUACCCUUGUAGUC
rnacentral:rRNA from 1 species